UAAGGAAUAUUGGACAAUGGUCGCAAGACUGAUCCAGCCAUGCCGCGUGCAGGAAGACGGCCCUAUGGGUUGUAAACUGCUUUUGUACCAGAGAAAACCUAUCUACGUGUAGAUAGCUGAUAGUAUGGUAAGAAUAAGCAUCGGCUAACUUCGUGCCAGCAGCCGCGGUAAGACGAAGGAUGCAAGCGUUAUCCGGAUUUACUGGGUUUAAAGGGUGCGUAGGCGGGCAUGUAAGUCAGUGGUGAAAUACCGGAGCUUAACUUCGGAACUGCCAUUGNUACUAUAUGUCUUGAAUAUUGUGGAGGUAAGCGGAAUAUGUCAUGUAGCGGUGAAAUGCAUAGAUAUGACAUAGAACACCGAUUGCGGAGGCAGCUUGCUACGCAAAUAUUGACGCUGAGGCACGAAAGCGUGGGGAUCAAACA
rnacentral:rRNA from 1 species